UGCGCCCUGGGAAGUGCGGUCCUCAGCUCUCCAGACUCAUGAAGGCCACCACCUGCUCCAGCUUGAAGGCCAGCCUCUGUUUCCGGGCUGCGUCGUCCUGCUCCAGUGAACACACAAUCUGCCAGCAGGACAGCGAGCUGCAGCCGCUCGAGGACAGGCUCGGUGUUUGGCUGGAUAAUUCUGGGCAUGUGUGAGGGAGAGAUGGAUCUGCCAGGAAGCAAGUCUUCAGAGCAAACCGAGCAAAGGAAAAGGCAGAGAAGCACUGACAAAGCAGCAGAGAUUUCCUUCCUGAGACACAGGUGUCCAUUAGCCUGCUCUCCAGCUGCAGCAUUCUGCUUGUUAAAUCCUCUCCCUGGCAUGACCCUUACUUUGGCACGGUUGGACAGCAGAGUGAAGCAGCACUAGAUCCACCCUUACUCAGUCACUACUAUAUUACUGAGGCUUUUCCAACUGAAUAACGCAGUUCCACUGCGGGGUGUUAGCUGACGACAGUAUUGCUCCACCAAACUCGCAAUAAAAGGCAUGAUUAAUAUACACGAGAGCACAGUGGGAUGUGUCAGUCUUUACACAGUGUGUACACACAAAUCUCUGAUUGAACAUGCUUUAAAAAGAUAACUGAUUACAGGCUAAAAUAUCUGCUUGUGUUGCCCCCCACAGUAGCAGCUGCUGCACUCUCUGUCCACUCCGAUCAUUUUUCAGCUUACAGUAUUCAAACACAUCCAUGUAUGAUUCAGCAGAAGACCCUCACAAUUUCCUCACACUUCUUUGUGUCUAUGGGAGACCACGGACACAAACACACACUGCAGACACACACGGGACUAAUGAGUACGGUCCUGAGCCUGAAGUGCCCCAUUUGGUUCCAGCCAUUCAAGCAGCCCACAUAUAUUCUGGUCCUGGGGCUCGCCUUGCGACGAAGCCACCGACACAUAAAUACUAGUCUGAACCGCUUCACACUACCCCCAUCUUUUAUUCAGGACCUCUUCGCCUCCCCUGCUGACAAAUAAAUUUAAUAAAACUCUCAUUUUAACAAAUUACCAGCUUCUACUGCCUGCUAUUCUCAAAAAAAUGUUUCUCUCUCUUUCCACACACACCCUCCCAACACACUGACUGCUCUGUACUGUAGAUCUCAUGCCCUGGGCGUUCCCAUCCAUUCUCACUGUGUUGUAAUUUGGAUUGUGUUUCAUGGCCCAUAGAUCACAGAGCUACAGUCGCAUUAUGUGUGUGUGUUGGAAUGAAACAUGGCUAAUGCAGGUUUUCUGAUGUUUUCACUUGCAUAAUAGCCCCACCACC